CCUACGGGUGGCAGCAGUGAGGAAUAUUGGUCAAUGGGCGGGAGCCUGAACCAGCCAAGUCGCGUGAGGGACGACGGUCCUAUGGAUUGUAAACCUCUUUUGUCGGGGAACAAAGGCGCCCACGGGUGGGCGGAUGAGUGUACCUGAAGAAAAAGCAUCGGCUAACUCCGUGCCAGCAGCCGCGGUAAUACGGAGGAUGCGAGCGUUAUCCGGAUUUAUUGGGUUUAAAGGGUGCGUAGGCGGAAUAUCAAGUCAGCGGUAAAAAUUCGGGGCUCAACCCCGUCGUGCCGUUGAAACUGAUGUUCUUGAGUGGGCGAGAAGUAUGCGGAAUGCGUGGUGUAGCGGUGAAAUGCAUAGAUAUCACGCAGAACUCCGAUUGCGAAGGCAGCAUACCGGCGCCCAACUGACGCUGAAGCACGAAAGCGUGGGUAUCGAACAGGAUUAGAUACCCCGGUAGUC
rnacentral:rRNA from 1 species